AAGACCGACCUAAAGACGACUAUAUAAGGUGAGACCAAACCCUAGAACAAGGGAUCGACACUUUGAGACUAAGUGAUUAGAGCUAGGCGGCUAGAACUUGGGUUCAUACACCAAUCUAUUGUAGUUCCUGCUCUUUGAUCUAAUAAAACAUCUUUUUCAAUAUCUUUACUCAUAAAUCCUAACGAAAUACAAGGCUUAUCCAUCAUUUCGUAGUACUCACAAAGAUCCUACACAAAAAUCCC
rnacentral:lncRNA from 1 species